rnacentral:piRNA from 1 species
UAAGUAGAGAAUGCUUAACUAUGGGCC